AUGCAGUCGAGCGGAUGGAUUAAGAUCUUGCUCUUAUGAAGUUAGCGACGGACGGGUGAGUAACACGUGUGUAACCUGCCCAUAAGGGAGGCAUAACUCCGGGAAACCGGGGCUAAUACCGGAUAACAUUUUGAACCGCAUGGUUCGAAAUUGAAAGGCGGCUUCGGCUGUCCCUUAUGGAUGGACCCACGUCGCGUUAGCUAGGUGGAGAGGUGACAGCACACCAAGGUGACGAUGCAUGACCAACCUGAGAGGGUGAUCUGACACACUGGGACUGAUCCUCCGGCAAGACUCCUACGGGAGGCUUGAAUAAGGAAUCUUCCCCUGUGGACGAAAUUCUGACUGAGCAACGACGGGUGUCUGAUUAAGGCUUUCUUUUCGUAAAACUCUGUUGUUAGGGAAGAACACCUGGUUGUUGAAUCAUUUGGCACCUUGACGGUACCUAAUCACAACGUCCCGGCUAACUACGUGCCACCAACGGCGGUAAUACUUAUGUGAAUUGCUGUAUCCAAAAUUAUUGGGCGUAAAUCGCGCACAUGUAUUUUCUUUCCUCUGAUGUGACCUCCCAACUGUCUACCGAGCAGCUGCAUUGGAAACUGGGAGACUUUAGUGCAGAUUACUAUAGUGCAAUUCCAUGUGUAGAUAUGAAAUGCAUCAAGA
rnacentral:rRNA from 2 species